CAAACCACCCGAAAGGCGAACUUCCCAUUCCAAAUUAGCAGCCAAACAACCCUAAAAUCACUUCCCUUUCCCGUUCCGGCCAUCUUGUUACCGCUCUCACAGUGUAUUUAGCCCUUGACAGUUAGCCCCUGCAGAAACUUGGAAUAUGAGAUACUCGCCGACUUAUGGACUUACAUCAAAUCUGGAUUGAGGCAAUAAGAGAAUGCAUUGAUUGGUGAAUUCACGCAUGGAGAAGCAACAUUGAGGCAGCUUGAUGGAUGGCUACAUUUUCCUCUGGUGUUUUAAGAAAGUUUAUCAUAUGAGCAAAGAAAAUGAAAAUAAGUGUUAUUUGGUUUCCUUGUAUCUAAUGUUGCAAACAAGUGUUGGUACUAUGCAUGGUUAAUGAAGGAUCAGUAGCCCUUUCAAAGUUCACUGGAGAAAUGCAGAGUUUUUUUUUAUUAUUAUUGGAAGUUUUGGAAUUGUUUUUCGGCUCAUAUAUUUUAUAAAAAGUAUCAAAGUGGUGCUUAUGCUAA